rnacentral:sRNA from 1 species
GCAAUGCCAAAUGGUACUGUUCAGCGAUUCCUCUUUACCCCAUUGGCAACAACAGCCACCACAGCCAGCACCACCACCACCACUGUUUCCACGACAGCAGCAGGUAGAGCUGUGGGUUUAUCAGAAAUGUCGGAUGUUACUACUACACGUGGCUGGGCUAACAGAGGCCAACAGGAGAACCAGUAUUUACCUUUGGAAGGAUAUGCCUCAAGCCAGUACAGGUGAACAAAGGCAGAGUAAACUGUCACCCCAGAUGCAGGUACAUCAAGACAAAACCCUGCCACCAGCUCAGUCAUCAAGUGUGGGUCCAGCAGAAGCCCAGCCACAGACUGCUCAGCCUUCAGCUCAGCCCCAGCCCCAAACCCAGCCCCAGUCCCC